rnacentral:lncRNA from 1 species
AAAAAUUAAAUAAUUCAUGUUUUACAUCAUCGCAUAAUUUCAGCAAAUAAACAAAGAAUUCAGAACCUUUAAAGCCUACAAACUACAUGAACAUAUAGCAAGAUUACCGAAAAUAAUCCACCUCUUAAAAGUGUUUUGACAUAUUACAACUUUGCUAAAUAAGUAAAUAACCCUUUUCCUGAAUCAUAAACCUCAAGAAAACCAUAGUUAUCACCUAUAGUCCCACCACUUUCAGAUACUUGUUAAACAAACCCCCAAAUCUAUACAAACACUUAAAUUACAUUUAAACCCCUUUCCUUCAUCCAAACGUAUACCCCAAAACAAUAUCAAAUAUCACCAACAACAAUUUACGCACUUGCAUUUGCAUGAACAACACAUGAAGCAUCCGCAUGGACCACAACCACAUCUCAAACAAUCGGGGCAUUUUGGUAAUUUCACAUCCGGGCAUUUCGGUAAUUUCACAUCCGGGCAUUUUGGUUUCUUCCACCCACAGCUCGAUUUGCAACAUUUC